CGAUUCGCCCGCCGCGCCCCGCGCCCGUCCCGCCGCCCCCGCCCGCUCCUACGGGAGGCAGCAGUGGGGGAUAUUGGACAAUGGGGGGAACCCUGAUCCAGCGACGCCGCGUGAGUGAAGAAGUAUUUCGGUAUGUAAAGCUCUGUCAGCAGGGAAGAAAGAAAUGACGGUACCUGACCAAGAAGCCCCGGCUAACUACGUGCCAGCAGCCGCGGUAAUACAAUCCAUAUGACUAG
rnacentral:rRNA from 1 species